GACGAACGCUGGCGGCGUGCUUAACACAUGCAAGUCGAACGGUGAAGCGCCUUCCUUUUUGGUGGGUGUGGAUGAGUGGCGAACGGGUGAGUAACACGUGAGUAACCUGCCCCGUCUUGCUGGAUAACCGCAUGAAAGUGUGGCUAAUACGGGAUAUUCUGGGUCUGUCGCAUGAUGGGUCGGGGAAGGAUAUUGUUUCGGUGGGGGAUGGGCUCGCGGCGUAUCAGCUUGUUGGUGGGGUGAUGGCCUACCAAGGCGGCGAUGGGUAGCCGGCCUGAGAGGGUGGUGGGCCACCCUACAGGUGAGACACCGCCGCGACGCCUACGAGGGGCAGCAGCAGGGAGUCUUCUUGAAUGAGGGACGGAAUGAUGGUGCAGCGCCGCGGCAUGAAGGAUGGUGUUCUUCUCGUUGUGCUCCGCUUUCGGGAGUGAAGAAAUGCUUCCUCAUCUGUGGGCGGGUUGACGGUACCUGGACAAGAAGCGACGGCUAACUACGUG
rnacentral:rRNA from 1 species